UUGGCCUUUGAUUGGCAUUGCAUGCUCAUACACAUUAUUCCGAAUACGAAUCUGAAUCCAAAUCAAAACGAAACAGCUCGAAUAAAAGCUUAAAUACUUAAACAACGAGAUCGGACCAAGUGCGGAUGGCAGUUCCGUUCGCUCCGUUCGUUAUGAGCAGCUGCCACAACCAGAUAUGCAGUGCUUCAUACAGUGGGCCUUCUGGUGAUUCAUCAUUGGGCCCUGGACAGGAAUGGCUGUCAACGUCAAAGAACCAUGAACUAGGAACCGACCGAGAACCAUGUGCUGCAAACUCAGAGCCGUGCUCAAACUCAGAGUAGCGACAUUAAAGCGCAGAAAUGCCAGCAAAGGAGCCGAGUUAAUGAGAUUUAAGCCGCAACUCUGGGACAUGGCGCGUUUUGAAUUUAAUAGCCACCACUGGCGAGCGGCGUCACCAAAAAAAGAAACCCCAAAGAAUAUCAGCACCGAGUGGUCUAACUGAGUUUUACGACAUUGUUUUUCCAGGGAGCCGGCGAGCAACUACAUAAUCAACGAGAAAAAAAUGAAGCUAACUGGUUCCGUUUCCAUGCGGAUCAAUCAAACAAUAAGUCAGGCAGCCAAAACUGAAGCUUCAUUAAAAGGAAAUGUUCGAUCUAGACAAGCAAAUCGAGACAACCACCCACAGGAACACUCCGUGGACAAGCUGUCAGUCCGUGUUCGCCGAUCUAUCCGUGGAUUCGGAUUCCGAGAUCCAGAGAUUCAGUGAUCCAGUGCUGACAUUUGACAUGCGUCCGCUGCCCCAACAAAUGAGGCACAGACUUCUGCGAUUGCUGCCACUGUGGGUUGCAUGCAAAUCGGAGCUGCCUCGGAAAAACUGGAAAACUGGUAGCCGAAGCCAGUGCAGGUCGAGGCAAAAGUCAGUGGAAAACAUACAAGCGGGAAUAAAAACGAAAAUGCAAAACGA